rnacentral:rRNA from 1 species
AUACGUAGGGAGCGAGCGUUGUCCGGAAUUACUGGGUGUAAAGGGAGCGUAGGCGGGAGUGCAAGUCAGAUGUGAAAUACCUGGGCUCAACCCAUGGGCUGCAUUCGAAACUGCAUUUCUUGAGUGAAGUAGAGGUAAGCGGAAUUCCUGGUGUAGCGGUGAAAUGCGUAGAUAUCAGGAGGAACACCGGUGGCGAAGGCGGCUUACUGGGCUUUUACUGACGCUGAGGCUCGAAAGCGUGGGGAGCAAACAGGAUUAGAUACCCUGGUAGUCCACGCUGUAAACGAUGAUUACUAGGUGUGGGGGGACUGACCCCUUCCGUGCCGCAGUUAACACAAUAAGUAAUCCACCUGGGGAGUACGGCCGCAAGGUUGAAACUCAAAUGAAUUGACGGG